UUGAUUGUUUUACUUCGGCAUUAUGUUUUGUGGGUAUCUCUUUACUUCGUGGUCCUGGCGAUUCUUGGUGUCUCUGCUGUCAAAGACUGCUUAGUAUACUAGUACUGUGGUUUCUCAAUCUAAUUCUUAUGCUUCAUGAGGUCUUUAUAGCUGCUUCCAACCCCUAUGUGCUGUUAGAGGUGCUAGAGCUGCUAUCAUUCAGCCCCCAUCUUGUUUCAUCACUUGGAUUUAAAAAGUUUUAUAUAUCAUUAUUUUCUGGAAGUGCUAAUUUGGAUGCCUUUUGAUAUUUGAUUCAAGAAGAAUGUGAUUCAGAUCCCGUGGGAGCUUGUUUAUUGGAUAUGGAUAUGGAUAUGUUUAUGGAUCUUCGAUGUUUUGUUUCCUGUGCUGUGAUGAUACUUCCAUUUGCAACAUUUUUUCACAUGAUUUAAUCUCAGUGUCUCAUGUGCCAUAUGGUCUGGUCUGCUGCUGCAACCCAUUUUUCCUCUCAGUGCUAUGUUUUUCGGUUCAUUGAAGGUUCUGUGUUCUGUGAUGGUUGGAUGCCAUAAAGUUCUCUGUGCAGAUUGCAUUUGUUCUUUUCAGCUUCAUGUCUUCUGCAAGCUUAUACAGAUUUGCUGAUGAUUCAUGCUCCAGUUUGUUUUUAGCUGUCUUGGUCUUCGGAUCACUCGUGCAUGCUGGCCAUCUCUGUUGACUGUUGCUUCAGCUUAUCUUUCUUUAUUUAUUUGUUUAGAUUUACUUUUUAAUCUUGUUCAAUUUUUUCCUGCCAUGAAUUCUAUACCUCUACUUAACAAUGAAGUAAAGGAGUAGCUCGUUAUACA